rnacentral:rRNA from 1 species
GACAGCAGCCGCCACGGUAAUACAGAGGGUGCGAGCGUUAAUCGGAUUUACUGGGCGUAAAGCGUGCGUAGGCGGCUUCUUAAGUCGGAUGUGAAAUCCCUGAGCUUAACUUAGGAAUUGCAUUCGAUACUGGGAAGCUAGAGUAUGGGAGAGGAUGGUAGAAUUCCAGGUGUAGCGGUGAAAUGCGUAGAGAUCUGGAGGAAUACCGAUGGCGAAGGCAGCCAUCUGGCCUAAUACUGACGCUGAGGUACGAAAGCAUGGGGAGCAAACAGGAUUAGAUACCCCAGUAGUCCCUGUCUCUUAUAC